CUUUAUGGCGGGCCGCGUAGGGGAGCCUUCGGGCUCGCCGGGUUCCUGUACCCCGGUCUUCCACACCCUGCGCGGUUCGUCACCAAU
rnacentral:antisense_RNA from 1 species